rnacentral:ncRNA from 1 species
UAGUAAGUGUGUAAGAGCGUACGGUGGAUGCCUUGGCACCAGGAGCCGAUGAAGGACGUAGUAGGCUGCGAUAAGCCUCGGGGAGCUGUCAAACGAGCUGAGAUCCGAGGAUUUCCGAAUGGGGAAACCCGGCACGAGUGAUGUCGUGUCACCCGCACCUGAAUAUAUAGGGUGUGUGGAGGGAACGUGGGGAAGUGAAACAUCUCAGUACCCACAGGAAGAGAAAACAACAUGUGAUUCCGUGAGUAGUGGCGAGCGAAAGCGGAAGAGGCUAAACCGGUUAUGUGUGAUAGACGGCAGUCGUUGCAUAGCCGGGGUCGUGGGAUUGUUUUUCCUGUUUCUGCCGAAACAGGCGACAGUAAGAAACCAGAGCGUUAGUCGAAUUGGUCUGGGACGGCCAACCGUAGAGGGUGAGAGUCCUGUAGACGAAAACGAUCUGGCUGUCGUAAGCAACU